rnacentral:rRNA from 1 species
UGGGGGAUUUUGCACAAUGGGCGCAAGCCUGAUGCAGCGACGCCGCGUGAGGGAUGAAGGCCUUCGGGUUGUAAACCUCUUUCGCUGGGUUGAAAGGCCAUGCUUUGGGUGUGGUUGAUUUGAACUGGUAAAGAAGUACCGGCUAACUACGUGCCAGCAGCCGCGGUAAUACGUAGGGUACUAGCGUUGUCCGGAUUUAUUGGGCGUAAAGGGCUUGUAGGUGGUUUGUCGCGUCUGUCGUGAAAUCCUGUGGCUUAACCAUGGGCUUGCGGUGGGUACGGGCAGGCUUGAGUGCGGUAGGGGAGGCUGGAAUUCCUGGUGUAGCGGUGGAAUGCGCAGAUAUCAGGAGGAACACCGGUGGCGAAGGCGGGUCUCUGGGCCGUUACUGACACUGAGGAGCGAAAGCGUGGGGAGCGAACAGG